GUCUCUGUGGCGCAAUCGGUUAGCG
rnacentral:piRNA from 4 species